GGGGAAUUAGCUCAGCGGUAGAGCGCUUGAUCCGCAAUUAAGAGGUCGCGGGUUCAAAUCCUGUAUUCUCCA